GAUUUUGGUGUUCUUGGUGUCUAUAGAACGCUCUCGAGGUGUAGGUGGUGUUUGACACAAGAUCCGGCCCAAUUGGUGGCCGUAUCGGCCGGAUUUCAGCUGGGAAACUAAAGCAUCUCGCGCGCGUUUUUCGGCCACUAGGGACGACGGCCGGCCGUGGGGAGGCACUGGGGCGGCGCUCAAGCGAGGUGGGGAGGCGGUGGCGCGAAC
rnacentral:misc_RNA from 1 species